AUAAAACAAGACUAUUCGCCAGAGUACUACUAGCAACAGCCUGAAACUCAAAGGACUUGGCGGUGCUUUAUACCCCUCUAGAGGAGCCUGUUCUGUAAUCGAUAAACCCCGAUCAACCUCACCAACCCUUGCUACUCCAGUCUAUAUACCGCCAUCUUCAGCAAACCCUAAAAAGGAACAAAAGUAAGCACAACUACCCCACGUAAAAACGUUAGGUCAAGGUGUAACUCAUGGGCUGGGAAGAAAUGGGCUACAUUUUCUAUAUUAAGAACACCCUUCACACUCACACGAAAGCUUUCAUGAAAUCUGAAAGCCAAAGGAGGAUUUAGUAGUAAAUUAAGAGUAGAGUGCUUAAUUGAAUAAGGCCAUGAAGCACGCACACACCGCCCGUCACCC
rnacentral:rRNA from 1 species